rnacentral:rRNA from 1 species
GAUGAACGCUGGCGGCGUGCCUAAUACAUGCCAGUCGAGCGAACGGACGAGAAGCUUGCUUCUCUGAUGUUAGCGGCGGACGGGUAAGUAACACGUGGAUAACCUACCUAUAAGACUGGGAUAACUUCGGGAAACCGGAGCUAAUACCGGAUAAUAUUUUGAACCGCAUGGUUCAAAAGUGAAAGACGGUCUUGCUGUCACUUAUAGAUGGAUCCGCGCUGCAUUAGCUAGUUGGUAAGGUAACGGCUUACCAAGGCAACGAUGCAUAGCCGACCUGAGAGGGUGAUCGGCCACACUGGAACUGAGACACGGUCCAGACUCCUACGGGAGGCAGCAGUAGGGAAUCUUCCGCAAUGGGCGAAAGCCUGACGGAGUAACGCCGCGUGAGUGAUGAAGGUCUUCGGAUCGUAAAACUCUGUUAUUAGGGAAGAACAUAUGUGUAAGUAACUGUGCACAUCUUGACGGUACCUAAUCAGAAAGCCACGGCUAACUACGUG